GGGGGGAGUGUAUUGCAACAGAAUCAUUUGGAUCGGGCCUAACUGAGAGGUCCAAGGUGAGACGAACAAAGAAGGAGCCAAAGGCUCACUUCCUUCGUCUUCUUCAGGAGCGGCCACGAGAAGGCAGAAUAGGUCACGGUGAUGACCAAGUCGCGCCGACUCCGCCGACGGCAACAACGAUCUCACGGGUGACGCCCCCGCUACUAAUCCAACCGAAACACCAUGCCAACGUGAUUCUAACACACGCCGAUUCAAACGCCAGAUGAUAACGGAUUGGGACUCGACCGCGAUUCACGACCACGCCUCUGCAACACGACUCACACCACAACGAUUCAAUCGGUUAACGCGAGGAGACGAGGGAACCUACCGGCGAUGGAGAAAUUGGAUUCGCCGGUGAAUGUCGGAUUCCGAGCUCAGAUUCUCUUAUGGUGGUUCGAUACGUAUGCUACGCGAGACUCGGUGCGUGUGUUGCAGAUUGGAUGCGAUGCUGAGAUUAGAUGGUUAUUGGUGGUUCAAAGAAUGUUGAAGCAGAAAACGGGGGAAGAUUUUGCAGAGAAGUGAGGAGAGUAUUUUUUUAGCAGAGAAAAAGUCCUGAAAUUUUGCAGAACAGAGGCUUAUAUAGCGCUCCUAUGUAUUGAGUUUGACAUGGAAAUCGAUUUCACUUGCGCUUUGCUUCUA